GCCACAUUACAUUUGCAUAAUACGCUGACCUCGACCGACCGACCGAUCGCACCCCGGAGUAAAGAUAGACUUUCUUAUCUGGACUUGACACAACCAGAAUUAUGAGUUUCGGAGCGUAGCGGCAGUGCAUGGAAGCAAUCCGUAACUUGUAAUGCAAGCUGUAUCGUGCACCAUGGUUACGUUGUCAUGACGACGAGGUGUAUGUACGAGACGUCUUUCAUUCAAGAGAAGCCUUCCCAUCAUCUUCUCAGAACUCUCUCUUGCAGGAAAUUGUGUUCUAUGCUUCCCUACCUCAACUAAGGAUAAGCUCUCUGCUGUAUUACUUUUAAGUGUGGGCAGGAAAUUGUUUGGCUACUUCAGCAAGAAUUCACUUUCUUCAUUCUUAUAUCAAAAGCAGGAGGGUGAAAGGAGAUAUUCCAGUGACUUAUACAAGUGGAUCUCACAUUGUGCCCCCCAUCCCGCCUUCUUUCACUUUCAUCAAUAUCUUUAUUCUGUUUCCCUUCUCUUCUAUUUCUUUUGCUUUUAUUAUUUCAUAUUUCGAUUGAUUUGUUUGUUCUAUGAAGUUCUAUAGAAAAUGAAAUACAAUUUACACGUGGUGGCAGUAGUCUAGAUUUUACUUAUAUAACCUCUUUUUAUACCCUUACUUGUUGUGCCCUAAAUGUAUUAUAGUUCAUAAAACCAUGGACCUAGUAGGUCCAUGAUAAAACGAAGGGUGAUGUGACAUUUAUUUGAAAGAUAUUAGAUACCUUUUUUAUAUGAAUAUUUUUCUUUUACCUCCAAUAUGUAUGUUUACUGGUGUUACUUGUAUUAUAUAUUUGAUGAUUGCAAUGGAAUGAUAAAGAUGUGCCUUUUAAAAUGAUGUA